AGGGCACCACCAGGAGUGGAGCCUGCGGCUUAAUUUGACUCAACACGGGAAAACUCACCCGGCCCGGACACUGGAAGGAUUGACAGAUUGAGAGCUCUUUCUUGAUUCAGUGGGUGGUGGUGCAUGGCCGUUCUUAGUUGGUGGAGUGAUUUGUCUGGUUAAUUCCGAUAACGAACGAGACUCUAGCCUACUAAAUAGAUCGUCGGCUUACAAACGCCGGCGAGACUUCUUAGAGGGACAGGCGGUGAUUCAACCGCACGAAACAGAGCAAUAACAGGUCUGUGAUGCCCUUAGAUGUCCGGGGCCGCACGCGCGCUACACUGAAGUGAUCAGCGUGCUUUUUCAACCUAUUCUGUCAAGAGUGGGGAACCCAAUGAACCUUCUUCGUGAUUGGGAUAGGGGAUUGUAAUUAUUCCCCUUGAACGAGGAAUUCCCAGUAAGCGCGAGUCAUAAGCUCGCGUUGAUUACGUCCCUGCCCUUUGUACACACCGCCCGUCGCUACUACCGAUUGAAUGUUUU
rnacentral:rRNA from 1 species